rnacentral:rRNA from 1 species
UACGUAGGCAGCAAGCGUUGUUCGGAGUUACUGGGCGUAAAGGGCUCGUAGGCGGCCAACUAAGUCAGACGUGAAAUCCCUCGGCUUAACCGGGGAACUGCGUCUGAUACUGGAUGGCUUGAGUUCGGGAGAGGGAUGCGGAAUUCCAGGUGUAGCGGUGAAAUGCGUAGAGAUGUGGAGGAACACCAGUGGCGAAGGCGACUCUUUGGUCUGUAACUGACGCUGAGGCGCGAAAGCGUGGGGAGCAAACAGG